AUUGUUUUUUGCAUACCAUGUUUUCCAAUGGUUGUAAUACUUUGGCUUUGAACCGUUCAUGGUCGUCUAUUAAGGAUUUUCAUCGCGGGAAUAUGCCACAUGUACAGUAAAGAAAAGAGGAGGGGUAAAUGUCACCACCCGCAGGUCCCGCACUAUGAGGGCAACAAUGUGGUAAUAAUUAUUCUUGACAUAGCAUCAGACAACAUUUUGAGUUUUACCCUGGGCUUACAUAACACAUCAUUCCAAACGACAGCAACCUGUAGGCCUAGAACUCAAGAAGGCUUCAUCUAAAUAAAAUCCAGACCCUUGAAAAAGUGGCCAUAUACUUGGUUCCGUCCAUGCAUGCAAAUUAUACAAAGAAGGGUAGCAGCCAUGAAAACCAACUUCCAAUCAUGUGAAUGCGCAUGUCAAACUACCUACCUCAAACAUAAAUAAACUGGCACCAGCAUAAUCUCUUGAUCUUUGAUGCUGCUACCUGGGUCC